CUUUAUUAAAAAAGACUGAUAUUUAAAGCAGGUCACUUAACAGGGGUUUCCAAAGAUGGGCAGCAGGGGUUUUGGUUGAGGGGACUGGAGGGAGACUACCGUUUCCAGGUCCUCCUCCCAUCAGCCCCUGCUGUAACAUACAGUAAUGAAAACCACGAGGACAUAAACCGUUACCUUUCUACUUCAAAAUAUACAACUUAGUCAGUUUUAAUAGCAAUGCUAACGAAUGGGGAGGAUU